GAUGAACGCUGGCGGCGUGCCUAAUACAUGCCAGUCGAGCGAACGGACGAGAAGCUUGCUUCUCUGAUGUUAGCGGCGGACGGGUGAGUAACACGUGGAUAACCUACCUAUAAGACUGGGAUAACUUCGGGAAACCGGAGCUAAUACCGGAUAAUAUUUUGAACCGCAUGGUUCAAAAGUGAAAGACGGUCUUGCUGUCACUUAUAGAUGGAUCCGCGCUGUAUUAGCUAGUUGGUAAGGUAACGGCUUACCAAGGCAACGAUGCAUAGCCGACCUGAGAGGGUGAUCGGCCACACUGGAACUGAGACACGGUCCAGACUCCUACGGGAGGCAGCAGUAGGGAAUCUUCCGCAAUAGGCGAAAGCCUGACGGAGCAACGCCGCGUGAGUGAUGAAGGUCUUCGGAUCGUAAAACUCUGUUAUUAGGGAAGAACAUAUGUGUAAGUAACUGUGCACAUCUUGACGGUACCUAAUCAGAAAGCCACGGCUAACUACGUG
rnacentral:rRNA from 1 species